rnacentral:rRNA from 1 species
AUACGGAGGAUGCGAGCGUUAUCCGGAUUUAUUGGGUUUAAAGGGUGCGUAGGCGGACGUUCAAGUCGGCGGUCAAAUGGGCGGGCUCAACCCGUUCUCGCCGUCGAAACUGGGCGACUGGAGUGGGAGAGAGGCAUGCGGAAUGCGCGGUGUAGCGGUGAAAUGCAUAGAUAUCGCGCAGAACUCCGAUCGCGAAGGCAGCUUACUAAGCUACAACUGACACUGAAGCACGAAAGCGUGGGGAUCAAACAGGAUUAGAUACCCUGGUAGUCCACGCAGUAAACGAUGAUUACUAGCUGUUUGCGAUACACAGUAAGCGGCACAGCGAAAGCGUUAAGUAAUCCACCUGGGGAGUACGCCGGCAACGGUGAAACUCAAAGGAAUUGACGGGG